rnacentral:rRNA from 1 species
AGAGUGCAAAGGAUGGUUAGGCGAGAAUAGAAGUAAAGUGUGAGGGGGGCAAGGGGGACGCGGAUAGAGGUGCAAUUUUCAAACUGGCUUACUUGGGUGCGAACUUCUCUUUGGGCUGAAGCCAUAGAACCGGUGAAAAAAACGGGGAUUUGAUACCCCCUUAUUACCGAAGUAAAUAUUUUUUUUUAAACGCUCGAGGACUAUAGGGUGCCCCUCUGAAACUCAAAGAAGUUGGCGGCUUUCUAACGAACCAGGGGAAUAUGCCGCUUAAUUCGAUGCGACGCGUCUAAUCCUACCGCACCUUGAAGAAAGUCAGUUGGUGUAUUGCCGUUGUCAGCUUGUUGUCCAAGCAAGAAAGAAACAGGCGCAAAGGGUGAGCGAGAGUUUUUCCUCUAGCCAUAAAUUCAGGUCAAAAUGCCACCUAUGGUGUCGGGGCUAGGGGUAUUACAAUAAAGUACUUUUUAUCACGAAUCUAUCUAGGGAAGUCUGGAGGGGAAGGUGAACUUGGAAGUAAAAAGAGAUUAACAUGCUUUUUUGAAUGGAGCGAUAGUUAGCGUACAAACUGCCCGUCGCUCUCGCCGGAAGGGGAGAUAAGUCGUAACAAGGUAGGGGUAAGGC